UACGUAGGGGGCGAGCGUUGUCCGGAUUUAUUGGGUUUAAAGGGUGCGUAGGUGGCCUUAUAAGUCAGCGGUGAAAGUCUGCAGCUUAACUGUAGAACUGCCAUUGAUACUGUAAGGCUUGAGUACUGAUGAGGUAGGCGGAAUUGAUAGUGUAGCGGUGAAAUGCAUAGAUAUUAUCAAGAACACCGAUUGCGAAGGCAGCUUACUAAGGAGCUACUGACACUGAGGCACGAAAGCGUGGGGAUCAAACAGG
rnacentral:rRNA from 1 species